CCGCGCUAACCGGGGAGUCAGCGGUGCCCUGUAAUCCGCAAUCCGCUAUAGCGGAGGUGAAUUCCGCCCCGAGGGGGCGUGCUGUGCCGUCUGCCCCGCAUAAGCGGCGUUGAAGGGCCGGUCUUGCGCAACAUACGCUCGUGAACCAAGUCAGGCGGGGAACCGAGCAGCUUUCAGCGAUGUCGUAUGUGUGCCGCGAGGGUGCCGGUUUGGAGCCAAACUGUUCGGGUAACGGGCAUAUCGCGUUUUCGGAGGGCGGUGCGCGG
rnacentral:SRP_RNA from 1 species